ensembl:lncRNA
GGGAGAGUGUCAGCGCUUUCUACGAGUGCCGCUUUCUCAGAAACAGCUGCUGGUAGUUAGUGUGUUAAACCUGUGCAGACAGCUCAGAAAAGCACAUGCAGAUGGAUUUAAACUCCUACACUUUUAAUCAGACUGUGUCCUGCUAAAAUUACUCUGUGUUGCAGACUAAAUAAGCAGACUAAAAAUGGAUUGUCUGUUGGAGGACACGGUGUUGCUUCCAGGAACUAUUUCCUGCUCCUGAAAAUGUUCAACAAACCCGAUUCCAUUGAUGCAAACGUGUUUGACAGAGAUCCAAACGGAGGCUCAAAACUUCACACUUCCAAGAAGUCCUUUUGGGAUGUCACAACUCUCGGCAAUUACUCUUCCAAGUGAACCAGGAACAUCAGGGCCAUUUUGAAGAUGGAUUGGAACUGUUUUAGAAGAGCUCUUGCAGACAUGGAAGUGGAUUUACAACAGAGAAGCAGCAGUAUGAUCUAGGGGGCUUUGAUGCCAUGUGGAAUGUCAUAUGGUGAUUAAUAAAUUUAAGUGACAGAAAUGUCUUCCA